rnacentral:lncRNA from 1 species
GGUGGGCUUUGCAAAUGGGGUGGGGGGGGAGUGGCUCCUGCCCUGACCAAGAGGAGAGAGAAACCAGAGAGGAACCCGAAGCUCAGUGAAGUCGGCCCGAGAUGGUGUAAAUCCCGUGCCGCCUCUGACUUUAAGAAGUCGGUCCCAGUGGUGGAUGGAGGGCUCCCCAAUGGCGUCCUCCCACCCCUACGGCCACACCUGUUCCCACGGCCAAUGCGGUCGCUGCCUUACACUGAAGCCCACCACGGCGCGGUAGGACUUGUCUGGCCUCUCUUCUUUCCCACCCCCGUUCCAGUUCCCAUAUUGUGCCACUCUCACAGCUCGGGACGGGGGCUGAUCUGUAACCGGCCUUUUACAGAGCAAUCACAGAGGCUGGCAGACAGUCCCAGCACUUCCCCUCAGUGUCCUGGGAGCAAAGGAUCGAGGGGACUCUUGUGGAACAGAGAUGGUGGACCCGGAACCCUGAGAGAGGACCAACCACGUCAUUGAAAACACACCACGAGGCCAUGCCUGACAAAAGGCACCUCACUUUAUCGGUCCAACUCCAUCUCCUGAGAGAAACAGAAAUGUGUCUGUCCUUGUUGUCCUGUGCUCAUGACAUAGUCUUUCUCUCUCCAAAUAUAAAGAGGUUUAAAGCUGACACAGCAACCGAGAGAGAGCACAGCCCACCCACAGCCUCUUCCUACAUCGGUCUAUGUCACAAUGAAAUCUUUAGGGAGGUAAUCCUGCAUGCAUCCCGACAGGCACUCACCAGAAAACAACCAUCCAGUGGGACUGGGGACGGCAGCACCUCCCACGGGCACAGCGCCCUGCCCCUGAGCAAGCAGACGACUUCUUCUUUCUCUUCAGCAAAGAUGUGACCCCCAUGCAGCUGCAAUGGCAGAAAUGCCCAGUUCACUCAUUUUGAGCUUCUUUAAUGAACCUCGUUACAAGGACAGCAUCCCGGGGAACAGAAUUGUGCUGGAGAAGGGCAGAGAUGGAAACACCUUACGGAAGAUUAUCGUUAUUUACUGUAAGUUUUCAACUCUGUGAACUAAUAAGAAACCAAUAAAGAAGGAAAGAAAGAUCCCCGAGGAAACUCC